GUUCACGGCUCACUGAACAGCAGUUCAACAGUGAGUCGGUCUGUCAGAAAGCGACAGAAAGUCAGAGAAGGUGACUCCAUAGUGCUGACUUUCACUCGCUCCAUGCCCGAGGGAAAAGGCAGCCGUGAGGAGAGCAGUUCUGCUCAGAGCAGCAGCAGGGAGCUCGGAUUCAACCAGUGACCAGUGUCUGGCCUGGACCGACCAGAGUGAGGGUCAGCAUCCACAUGGGCUGAGCAGUCAGCAGUGGGUCAGCUUGGCUGGAAGACAUGAGCAUGACGCCCUGCCUGGGAGAGGCCAGGAAAUUUCAAGGAAAUCUGUGGAAACUUGAGAGAGGAUGCAUGGCAGAAAUGUCUAGCGCGAGGGGAUUGGAGGAAGUUUAAGGUGAUUGGAGGAAGGAGGUGUCAAAGGAAUGGCUUUAUAAUGGUGUAUAAAGCAUGGAUAUACCAGGGCUGGUUCACAAAGUGGAUGCCUCCAAAACGUGCAGGGAAGCUGUCCUGUAAAGAUGAGAGUUUGGAUUAGUAAGGUCAAGUCACAGAAGGAUCAAGCAACAUGAACUCAGCACCACUGAAAGCUGACUACAACCUGGCUAACAGUGAAAGCUUUUCCUGUUGUUUAUACAGUUCACAAUCCUCAAACCGCACUGUUGGAAAUAUUCUCAGACAUGCAUAUCAACGCAAGUUGCUCCAUUGACGUUUCUUGUCCUAUGUUCCUGCAGUUAAACGUCUGACAUCAUAAAGUCUCAGUUACUUGGUCAUAUUUACAAUACUCACCUAUGGCCAGAACUUAGAAAAGAAGUAUUGCAUUUCGACAAAACAUAACAAGGGCAGGACUUGUACAAUUUAAAAUAGGGCCUUGGAUAGUGUUGUAAAACAGAGAGAGACCUAGUGGUUCCGGUACAUAAUUCUUUGAAGUUUGUGCCACAGACAGACAGGGUGUGUUAAGAAGGGGUUUAGCAUGCUUGUCUUCAUUGCUCAGACCUCUGAGUGUAGGAGUUGGGAUGGCAUGUUGAGGCUGUACAGGAUGUUGGUGGGGCCACUUCUGGAAUACUGUGUCCAGUUCUGGUCGCCCUGUUAUUGGAAGGAUUUUAUUAAGCUGGAGAGGGUUCAGAAGUGAUUUAUCAGGAUGUUGCCGGGAAUGGAGGGUUUGAGUUAUAAGGAGAGGCUGGAUAGGCUGGGACCUUUUUCACUGGAGUGUAGGAGGCUGAGGGGUGACUUUAUAGAGGUUUAUAAAAUCAUGAGGGAUAUAGAUAAGGUGAAUGGCAGGUGUCUUUUCUCUAAACUGGGGGAUUUCAAUACAAGGGGGCACAUUUUUAAGGUGAGAGGAGAAAGAUUCUGAAAAUACAUGAAGGGCAAUUUUUUUUUUAGAUUAGAUUACUUACAGUGUGGAAACAGGCCCUUUGGCCCAACAAGUCCACACCGACCCUCCGAAGAGCAACCCACCCAGACAUAUUUCCCUACAUUUACCCCUUCACCUAACACUAUGGCCAAUCCACCCUAACCUGCACAUUUUUUGGACUGUGGGAGGAAACCCACGCAGACAUGGGGAGAAUGUGCAAACUCCACACAGUCAGUCACCUCAGUCGGGAAUUGAACCCUAGUCCCUGGCGGUGUGAGGCAGCAGUGCUAACCACUGUGCCACCGUGCCACCCACUUUUUAUUUUUUAUAAACCUGCCCCAUUUCCCAACGCGUCAGCGGUGGACACACCCUCAUCCUGCCUCUGACCACGCCCCCUUGCUCCUAGUACCGCCCACUGGACCUCCACCUUUACAGAGAGUAGUUUGUGUGUGGAAUGAACAUCCAGAGGAAACGGUGGAUCUGGGUACAGUUAGAAUGUUUAAAAGAUAUUUGGAUAAGUACAUCAAUAAAAAAUAUCUGGAGGGAUAUGAGCUAAGAGCAGGCAGGUGGGACUCGUCUGAUUUGGGAUUCUGGUCGGCAUAGACUGGUUGCACCGAAGGGUCUGUUUCCGUGCUGUGUGACUCUAUGACUCUGUAAUUUCCUUCACAGAACAUAGAACAUAGAAAAAUACAGCCCAGAACAGGCCCUUUGGCCCUUGAUGUUGCGCCGAUCCAAGCCCACCUAACCUACACUAGCCCACUAUCCUCCAUAUGCCUAUCCAAUGCCCGUUUAAAUGCACAUAAAGAGGGAGAGUCCACCACUGCUACUGGCAGGGCAUUCCAUGAACUCACGACUCGCUGAUUAAAGAAUCUACCCCUAACAUCUGUCCUAUACCUACCACCCCUUAAUUUAAAGCUAUGCCCCCUCAUAAUAGUUCACUCCAUACGUGGAAAAAGGUUCUCAUGGUCAACCCUAUCUAAACCCCUACUCAUCUUGUACACCUCUAUCAAGUCACCCCUAAACCUUCUUUUCUCCAAUGAAAACAGCCCCAAGUGCCUCAGCCUUUCCUCAUACGAUCUUCCUACCAUGCCAGGCAAUAUCCUGGUAAAAAAUGAGGUCUGCAGAUGCUGGAGAUCACAGUUGAAAAUGUGUUGCUGGUUAAAGCACAGCAGGUUAGGCAGCAUCCAAGGAAUAGGAAAUUCGACGUUUCGGGCAUAAGCAUUAUCCUGGUAAACCUCCUCUGCACCCGUUCCAGUGCCUCCACAUCCUUCCUAUAGUAUGGCAACCAAAACUGCACACAAUACUCCAGAAGCGGCCGCACCAGAGUCUUAUACAACUGCAACAUGACCUCAGGACUCCGGAACUCAAUUCCUUUUUUUUUAGAUUACUUACAGUGUGGAAACAGGCCCUUCGGCCCAACAAGUCCACACCGACCCGCCGAAGCGCAACCCACCCAUACCCCUACAUAUACCCCUUACCUAACACUAUGGGCAAUUUAGCAUGGCCAAUUCACCUGACCCACACAUCUUUGUGACUGUGGGAGGAAACCGGAGCACCCGGAGGAAACCCACGCAGACACGGGGAGAACGUGCAAACUCCACACAGUCAGUCGCCUGAGUCGGGAAUUGAACCCAGGUCCCUGGCGCUGUGAGGCAGCAGUGCUAACCACUGUGCCACCGUGCCGCCCUGCUGACGAGACGAGCGAAAUAAAAUACCAAUAAAAGCCAGUACACCAUAUGCCUGCUUCACAGCACUAUUUACCUGGGUGGCAACUUUCAGACAUCUGUGUACAUGGACACCAAGAUCCCUCUGCUCAUCCACACUACCAAGUAUCCGACCAUUAGCCCAGUACUCCAUCAUGUGAAUUAUAUAUGAAUUUAAAUUGCUUUUUGAAGGAUAUAACAAGUGAAGGUGGCCCUGAGCAUUGGGGAACUGCCCCUUGGUGAAGGCUUUAGUGUGAGAUGCUGUCCAUGAAUCCUGAUGUCACUGAGCUCCCAUGAGUGUUAGUGUAACACAGGCAGACACAGCCCAAUCAGGAGAGUGGGGGAGAGAGGGAAGGGGGUGCCUGCCGGAUUCUUGCUCAGUCACCUUCGCUGAGAGUGAAGGUCUGGUUGGAGACUCGCUGCAGCUGGUUUGGACAAAAUCAGGAAAGUGAUAGGGUAAGAAAUUAAAAUUAAUUUGUUGACCCACAGAGAGAACAGAAAUGCCUUUUGAAUUUGGAGUUCAACCCAUUGUAAGGAGAAUGAGCUACAGAGAACUACACACAGGUAACCAAAACCUCACACUAUUCCCCACAAGCAUUUGUAAAGUGAAGAAUUAUUAUAGAAUUGUCCAACAUUUGUAAACGUACAAAUAUCAACAUCAACAUUAACGGUGCCAACAUUACCCCACAGAAAGUUGUGGGCAGUUUGGCAGUAAGCUGCAGGAGAUCCAGGAGAUAAUACAAACUUCAAGGAGAAAAUAAAACUUCUAAGAAUAGAAACAUUCAGCUAGAAACCCCUUUCCUUGCUGGGAGUCAAUAACUGGGGUCAAGCCCAUGGCCUGCUCUUGACCCAUGGUUCUGCCAAAGACUAUUAGAUCGGAUAUGGCUCACCUUUCAGAAUACUAAGCACCCCCCACUUGAUUGGUAUAACACGCACAGAUACCCACUCCCUCCUCACUCAGUGGCAGCAGUGUGUACCAUCUACAAGGUGCACUGCAGGAAUUCACCAAAGAUCCUCAGACAGCACCUUCCAAACCCAUGACCAAUUCCAUCUAGAAGAUCAAGGGCAGCAGAUAUAUGGGAACACCACCCCCUACAAGUUCCCUUCUGAGGCACUCUCCAUCCUGUUCCUUCAGUGUCGCUGGGUCAAAAUCCUGGAAUUCCCUCCCUAAGGGCAUUGUGGGUUAACCCAAAGCAGCUGGACUGCAGCGGUUCAAGAAGUCAGAUCACCCCCACCUUCUCAAGGGGAAACUAGGGAACGGGUAAUAAAUGCUGGGCCCAGCCAGCGACACACAUCCCAUGAGUGAAUCAAAGAAUUCUCCUCAAUGCUUACAUUUGCUAUGAUCUCACUUACUCUACCUGGUGUUGGAUACAAACAAUUUUCCCACCCACAGACAAUACAUUCAUUACACUGCAACUGUUUGGGAUUUUUCUUUCUGCUUUUUACAUUUUACGUUGCAAUCUUCCAGCACAUUAAUUCCAUCCGUUAACUCGUGAAGGAUCAGUAUUGGCUCUGUGAUAGUGCUUUUAAUAAGUGAAAGUCCAUUCCAGAGAUUUGAAUACAAUCGAGAUUGUUUUCAGACCCGGAAUGAGGAGGUACUGUGCAAAGAUGGUGUGGCAUUAAGCCAUCGAGCCUUCAAGCCUCUCCCGUGGGCACAUCCAUACAAAAAGUAGUAAAGUUCUUCCAGUGAUCUAGCUAACACAACUAAAGCAAUUAAACUGAUCAUUCAUUGUUUUUUUCACUGUUUGUGGAACAUUGCAUUGUAAUCUGAUCGCUGUGUUUCCCAACAGUAACCAAGGGCUAGGAGUGUCUUGGGAUAUCAACAAGUCCACACAAAUGUAUUUCUUCCUUCUUUCUAUAAGCAGAGGCUAAUCUGGUGUACAUUUGGAAUACCUUAUCUGAGGGACUGUCUCAUGACGAGAUGUUGAGUAGAUUAGGCCUGUACUCAUUGGAACUUAGAAGAGUGAGAGAUGACUUUAUGAAAUGUACAAGAUUUUGAGGUGACUUGUGGAUUGUUUGAUGUGUGAGAGUUGAGGAUCAGAGGGCAUCAUCUAAGAGUAAAGGGUGACGUCCUUAAGGCAGAGUUGAGGAGGAAGUUCUUCUCUCAGAGGGGAGUAAAUCUGUGGAAAUGUUUAGCAUGGAGGACUGUCGAGGCUGGGUCAUCAAGUCCAUUGAAGGCAGAGAUUGAAAGGUUUUUAUUCCCUCAGAAAACCAAAGCUGAUGGGGAAAAAGCAGGAAAGGUAGGUGAGGAUUAUCAGACUAGUCAUUGAUCUCAUUGAAUGGCAAGGCAGACUUGAUGGGCUGAAUGGCUUACUCCAGCUCCUGUUUCUUAUGAUCUUAUGGUCUGAUUAAGUCAUUGCUUUGCCUAGCUACGCACAGUAAUUGUGGACUGAAGUAAACCUGAAGGAGCAAUUACUCUGAAUAACAAACUAUCCUGAUUACAAAGUUACAAAUCACACAACACCAGGUUAUAGUCCAACAGGUUUAAUUGGAAGCAGUAGCACAACCACCUGAUGAAGGAGUGUCGCUCCGAAAGCUAGUGCUUCCAAUUAAACCUGUUGGACUAUAACCUGGUGUUGUGAGAUUUUUAACUGUGUACACCCCAGUCCAACACCAGCAUCUCCAAAUCAUAUCCUGAUUACUUUAUGAUAAUUAUUGUAACAUAAAACCAUCAGCCAGUGACACAGACAUUGUAUUCCAAUGGAUCGUUUGUUUUAUUUAUGUAUAAAUUGCCCUAAAGAGACACUCUGUUAUGCUUUACCUUCACCAAAAAGAUACACCAUACUCUGGAACCAAUUCCUAAAAUGCCAUAAACCCAAGUAGCAAGCCAGCCAGCUGCACCAUCCUAUCAAAUGAUGGCGGUAUGGUGGUUAGCACUGCUGCCUCACAGCGCCAGAGACCCGGGUUCAAUUCCUGCCUCAGGCGAGUGUGUGGAGUUUGCACAUUCUCCCUGUGUCUGCGUGGGUUUCCUCCGGGUGCUCCAGUUUCCUCCCACAGUUCAAAAAUGUGCAGGUUAGGUGAAUUGGCCAUGCUAAAUUGCCUGUAGUGUUAGGUGAAGGGGUAAAUGUAGGGGAAUGGGUCUGGGUGGGUUUCACUUCAGCGGGUCGGUAUGAACUUGUUGGGCCGAAGGGCCUGUUUCCACAUUGUAAGUAAUCUAAUCUAAUGGCACUCCAAUUAAAGGGAUGGUUUGGGAAAAGUGUACAAGUUCAUAGGACAGAAUUUGAAGUUUCUUAAAUUUCAUCUUUACAGAUGGUGGGAGGAUGUAAAAUGUAAUUCCCUUGUUACACAAUAUUGUUAAUAGGCGACAUUAAAAUGAUAUUUAAUUUAAUGCCAUAACAUUCAAUAGGUCAAACAGAGAGAAAAGAAGUCACUUAAAGCUGACAGCUGUACAAGUGGAUAAAUAUUACUACUGAAGAGGAAUCUAGUAUCACAAAUUUUCUAAAAGAUAAUUGUCUUCAAUGUUUGAUCCUGUGCAAGUUUGCAAACAUCUUUCUUUUAUGUUGCAAUUAUCAUGUUUGUCUCAGCAAAUGUAACAGAGACAUGUACUCUGAUAUCAGGGGGUAAUCGUUCCAGUUGCACAGAAGGGGGUUACUAUGGCAGGAUAAUACCGUGAUUACUCCCCAAACUAUUUUCUACUUUCAGUCAUUAUGUGUGGAUCGUGAAUAACACGGGAAGAAACAGGCCAAAUAAAUACCAAAAUAACCGUGCUCACUUGCACUAGGAGACAUAAAAAUACAAUUGAACAAUAUGUUUAGGUUUGCUCAUUAUGAUUUUUUAAAAUAAAAUAUGUCACUGUGAUCAUCUUAAAUCUUAUGUAAACAAUGAAGUGCAGAUAGAGUCAUAGAGUCUUACAGCACAUGAACAGACCCUUCACUCCAACUCAUCCACGCCGACCAGAUAUCCUAAAUAAAUCUAGCCCCUUUUGCCAGCAUUUGGUCCAUAUCCUUCUAAACCUUUCCUAUUUAUAUCCCCAUCCAGGUGCCUUUUCAAUGUUGUAAUCGUACCAGCCUCCACCACUUCCUAUAGUGUUGCUAACAAUGGCCAAUUUUGAGAAGUAGUCUACCCCUUCACUCUGCGGCUAUUUUUGUGGAAGGAGUGGAUGGAACCUCAUGAGGAUCCUUCCACUUCUGGGCUUGAUGUAUUUGGCAUGUGAUACACACAUUUCCACGUCGUUGGGUAUCCUGACUCAUCCCUAAACAUGAUACAGAGCCAUCUGCUUGGCAGAACAUAGAACAUAGAAAAAUACAACUCAGAACAGGCCCUUCGGCCCACGAUGUUCUGCUGAACAUCUAACCUAGAUUAAGCACCCAUCCAUGUACCUAUCCAAUUUCCGCUUAAAGGUCGCCAAUGAUUCUGACUCUACCACUCCCACGGGCAGCGCAUUCCAUGCCCCCACCACUCUCUGGGUAAAGAACCCACCCCUGACAUCUCCCCUAUACCUUCCACCCUUCACCUUAAAUUUAUGUCCCCUUGUAACACUCUGUUGUACCCGGGGAAAAAGUUUCUGACCGUCUACUCUAUCUAUUCCUCUGAUCAUCUUAUAAACCUCUAUCAAGUCACCCCUCAUCCUUCGCUGUUCCAAUGAGAAAAGGCCGAGAACUCUCAACCUAUCCUCGUACGACCUAUUCUCCAUUCCAGGCAACAUCCUGGUAAAUCUUCUCUGCACCCUCUCCAAAGCUUCCACAUCUUUCCUAUAGUGAGGCGACCAGAACUGCACACAGUUUGGUUUAAUUGGUAUCCCCACAGAACCAGGUGGGUUCCUCGCUCCCUCAGAAACAGCAUUGCUGAAGAAAGGCUGAUUCUAGCAUCCUAUGCUAAUGUUACUUCUGGGGGAUUUAAAGACCCAUUCUGCCAUAAAGUGUGCCUCCUCCUCCCUGGGAAAAUUCUAUUCUUUAUUUACAAUUAUCUUACAAAUCCUUUUCUCUUCCUUUGGACAUAAAGAGGCAAAAGAAUUGCUCAGCAUCUUUUUUUUAAAUUCUCUUUCAGUUUGCCAUCUUCAGCUCUUUGGUAGCUUUCCCCAAGUGAUCAGCUUCAACCUUCUGCCUGUCAAUAGUCUGAGCUAAAACAGUCUGCUUGCAACUACAUUGAACAUGGUGGAUGGUAAAAUGUGAAUUAAAAAGAAAGAGAAAAAAAAAAUUGCUGGCAGCAUCUGUGGGGAGAGAAACAGAGUUUCAAGUUUUGAGUCUGAGAGGACUCCUUCAGAACAGAAGUCUGUGACAGGGUUGGAUGAGUUUCUCAGCUCUCCUGGUUUAGAAACCCUGAACCAUGCCUCUGUUUGACUAUUCCAACACCCCCCUGGUCCUCCUGCAGCUCCUACAGUCUAACAUCUGCCAACUUCCUUCGUAUUGCCUGGGUCACAUUGUAGUGUCUGUGUGUUAGGUGAGUUCCCAUGGCAGUUCUGGACUCACUGACCUCGAAUGGUUCCUGGUCAAGCAACAUCUGACUUUAAAAUUUUCUUCUUUUCAUGGCCUGAGACUGCCCUGUUUCUGUGACCUCCUCUAGUCCCAUGCUCUAAUAUACUUGGCUGCUAUCACUUUAGUUUCCCUUUUCAUGCUCUUGGAAUUGUCAAACACAUUAAAAUGUCAGUUUUAUGUGAGAAGCAAAAUAUCAAAGUAAAUAGUGGCUGCUGUUA